rnacentral:rRNA from 1 species
UCCUACGGGAGGCAGCAGUGAGGAAUAUUGGUCAAUGGGCGCGAGCCUGAACCAGCCAAGUCGCGUGAGGGAUGACGGCCCUACGGGUUGUAAACCUCUUUUGCCGGGGAGCAACGGGCGCCACGUGUGGCGCCACUGAGAGUACCCGGAGAAAAAGCAUCGGCUAACUCCGUGCCAGCAGCCGCGGUAAUACGUAGGGGGCUAGCGUUAUCCGGAAUUACUGGGCGUAAAGGGUGCGUAGGUGGUUUCUUAAGUCAGAGGUGAAAGGCUACGGCUCAACCGUAGUAAGCCUUUGAAACUGGGGA